rnacentral:lncRNA from 1 species
CCCUCUCUCUCUCACUCCCACCCCAACUGCUUAUACCGAUUCUCUCUCCUCCCCAAUUUAUCUUUCUCCAUUGAUUAAGUCACUUAAAAGCUGUUGUAAAUUGCUCCGGUCGAUCUGCUCUCUCCGGCGAACGCUAUCAAUCGCCGCGCUCGGUAUUCAACGGUCCACGGCGAGAUGAUUCACUUGCAAGCAGCUUCUCCGGUAAGAACAGUCGAGAAAUGCUAGAUCCCUUUGCUGUGAUUCACGUUCGAUCCAAAAUAUGGCUUCGCAAGAAGGAAAAAAACUCCCUAAAUCAUUAACCUAACAAAUCCUUAAAUCUUUAACAUCAG